AAUUUGGCGAGAAUAACAAUGUCUUAUUGGUGUGAGAACUGUGUGAGAAAAUUGGUGUAAAAUAUGUCAAUCAGCUUUCAUGUUUUACUGAGCCGCUUCAACUCAACUGGCUUCAAAGAGGAAGUUAUAUUUUUUUCUCCAUGUAAUCAUGAGAACAUAAAGUGUACAUCAAAUUGGGAUUGUUUGGAAGGAAGGACAAACUGUACUAUCCCUUCACUGCAAGCAGAGGACUGCGAUUGCAGACCUGGGCAAAUGUGGGUGCAUAACGCUAGGAGGAUACAGGCCUGCAGACAACACCAGAGAGGCAUGCUCCCAUCCCAGCAGGGCAUGAUCAUCUUACCAUGGCUAGGAGGAAGAAAUGGGAAUGCAAAAAAACUUGUUUGUUUUAAAAUCUCCAAGGCUUUUUGCUAGAACCAAGUGUCAACAACAGUGUGCUAUCUGGUCCAAGAGCCUGCCUGAGGCCAUCAUCACCUGGCAGCUUUUUGCUUCCCUGUUUUAAUAUAGAUAAGUUAAAGACUGAUGCCUGACCAAAACAACACUUUUAACAAUUAAAAAUUUAAAUAAAGUAACU
rnacentral:lncRNA from 1 species